CAGUAGCCACGGUAAUACGAAGGGUGCAAGCGUUAAUCGGAAUUACUGGGCGUAAAGCGUGCGUAGGUGGUGGUUUAAGUCCGUUGUGAAAGCCCUGGGCUCAACCUGGGAAUUGCAGUGGAUACUGGGUCACUAGAGCGUGGUAGAGGAUAGUGGAAUUUCCGGUGUAGCAGUGAAAUGCGUAGAGAUCGGAAGGAACAUCUGUGGCGAAGGCGACUAUCUGGGCCAACACUGACACUGAGGCACGAAAGCGUGGGGAGCAAACAGGAUUAGAUACCCGCGUAGUCCCUGUCUCUUAUAA
rnacentral:rRNA from 1 species